UACGUAGGGUGCAAGCGUUGUCCGGAAUUAUUGGGCGUAAAGAGCUCGUAGGCGGUCUGUCGCGUCUGCUGUGAAAACUCAGGGCUUAACCUUGAGCUUGCAGUGGGUACGGGCAGACUAGAGUGCGGUAGGGGAGACUGGAAUUCCUGGUGUAGCGGUGAAAUGCGCAGAUAUCAGGAGGAACACCGGUGGCGAAGGCGGGUCUCUGGACCGAUACUGACGCUGAGGAGCGAAAGCGUGGGGAGCGAACAGG
rnacentral:rRNA from 1 species